rnacentral:sRNA from 1 species
GCGUGCCGUGCCGUCCAGCUUGGUCAUGAUCAAGCCGCUGACGCCGGCGACGUUGCGGAAUAUCUCGAC